UAGCUCAGUCGGUUAGAGCGUGGUUCUGAAAACACCAAGGUCACGGGUUCGAUCCCCAU
rnacentral:tRNA from 1 species